GCUUACAGCCAUAGCACCCUGAGCACAUCCAAUCUCAUCUGAUCUAGUACUUGGAUGGGAGAGCACUUGGGAAUACCAGGUGUCAUUAGUA
rnacentral:rRNA from 1 species